rnacentral:rRNA from 1 species
UACGUAGGGGGCAAGCGUUGUCCGGAAUCAUUGGGCGUAAAGAGCGUGUAGGCGGCUCGAUAAGUCUGCUGUGAAAGUCCAGGGCUCAACCCUGGAAGGCCGGUGGAAACUGUCGGGCUAGAGUCCGGAAGAGGCGAGUGGAAUUCCCGGUGUAGCGGUGAAAUGCGCAUAUAUCGGGAGGAACACCAAUGGCGAAGGCAGCUCGCUGGGACGGUACUGACGCUGAGACGCGAAAGCGUGGGGAGCAAACAGG